UCAUGGCCAUGGGCUUAAGGACUCGAUCUUUCGAUCAUCAUAGGACUACUCCUCUCAUCUACCGAGGUUGAUAGAUCCCAUCUUGGUGCGAUCUGGUUCCUAUAAUGGAUAUGCUACAGCCAACAUACACCUCAAGAUUCUGAAUGGCUAAGAGAUCGAGUUAUGGUGUAGUCAAACUAUAACACACUCAAGGUGAACCGUCGAUGCACCUCAGGUCAAAGAACUAGACAUACAACUACAGCAUCG
rnacentral:lncRNA from 1 species